CCCUUAGAUGUUCUGGGCUGCACGCGCGCUACACUGAUACUUUCAGCGAGUCCACCACCUUGCCUGAGAGGGUGGGGUAACCUCUGGAAAGUGUAUCGUGAUGGGGAUCGAUUAUUGUAAUUAUUAAUCUUCAACGAGGAAUUCCUAGUAAGCAUGUGUCAUCAGCCCGUGCUGAUUACGUCCCUGCCCUUUGUACACACCGCCCGUCGCUCCUACCGAUUGGAUGGUCCGGUGAAGCCUCGGGAUUGUGGUUCUUGCCGCUUUAUUGUGGCGUGACCGCGAGAACUUGUCUAAACCUUAUCAUCUAGAGGAAGGUGAAGUCGUAACA
rnacentral:rRNA from 1 species